GUGAAUCAUCGAAUCUUUGAACGCAUAUUGCACUCUCUGGUAUUCCGGGGAGUAUGCCUGUUUGAGGGUAAUUAAAAAUAAUCUUUAGCCGAUUUUUUUUGGUCAAAGGAAAUGAGCUCUCCGCGUUUAUAGCUGUUUCUUGUAAUAAAUGGUCAAGUCUCAUUUUAUGCUGGAUACGUAAUAAUAUUAUUUCUCGAAAUCUUCAUUAUGUGACU
rnacentral:misc_RNA from 1 species